CCUCCUUCUCGGCCUUUUGGCUAAGACCAAGUGUAGUAUCUGUUCUAAUCAGUGUGAAAACGGGUUUCCCGACUUUUAGUUGGAUCUUUUUCACAUUCAUUUUUGGACAUUCCGAGACUGCUAGCUUGCUAGUUUUUCUUGGAAUGGGUCUGUGAUUGAUGAUUGCAUUUGUCUUCUCCUCCUGGGCAACCGU
rnacentral:snRNA from 1 species